rnacentral:tRNA from 1 species
GGGCCCGUAGCUCAGUGGACAGAGUACUUGGUUCCGGACCAAGAUGUCACGGGUUCAAAUCCCGUCGGGCUCU